CUAGUGAAAAAGCACUAAAGGGGAAGGUGCGGAAUGUGGUGCAGUGCAUCAGUCUUCUCCGAAACUUUGUCCGUCUUUCUCGUGUCUGCAACAGGUAUCGGCCGAUAGAGGAAUAUACCGAACAAUGCCGAGCGGUGCCGAUCGGUCUUCGGUGGGAAAGAAGGUCUCGCCAUUUCUCUCGCGAACGUCGAAGUGACAAGACGUGUUGAGAGCAUCCUUCCGCAUAAGUAGUAGAUAUUUGAUAGAUAUUGAAAGGUCGCCAUGACACCUGAUAUGGGUUUGAAAUAGAAUUUCGUAAGAAUUUAUGGUAAUUAUUUAGAAGUUGGUCCUCCUCACCGAUUUUCGUGACCUUGAAAUAUGUUGUCAAGGUCAUCAUUCUGAACAACUUUUCCCUAUACAUGUUACCGCCGCUCGGCCUUAGUUUGUCAACCUGUACCUGGAAUAUAUUUGAAGAAUUGACGAUGCAAUCGACACGAACGGAGUAUGCCGUUCGCCUUGAUUCUAUUUGUACAAUUUUUCAAAUUUUUUGCGACUUUCUUGACGUCGUCAUACGCGAUCGUGAUGUUAGGCAUGAAACGCACAAGUUCUAUUCGAGCACGGCAUGUGUGCACGAACAACGACUUAUAUAAAGUUCUUUUUCAUCCACGUAUCAAUUAGAGUUUCGCGAUUUUUGUUUUUUGUUUUACGAAUUUGCAAGUUUCGAGCUUUAGAUAUAAGUUUCAAGUGGGUGGACCGCUCGAAGAAAGAAGAGG